AAAAAAGACAAACACUAGUUUCCGUGUCCAACGUUUGACCAUUCGUCUUAUUUAAAAAAAUUACAAAAAAAUUAAAAAGACAAGUCACGCAUAAAAUAUUAAUCAUGUUUUAUCAUCUAACAACAAUGAAAAUACGAAUUAUAAAAAAAUUUCAUAUAAGACAGACAGUCAAAGUUGGACACGGAAACCUAGGGUUUGUCUUUUU
rnacentral:pre_miRNA from 1 species